rnacentral:rRNA from 1 species
AUUGAACGCUGGCGGCAGGCCUAACACAUGCAAGUCGAGCGAGCGGCGGACGGGUGAGUAAUGUCUGGGAAACUGCCUGAUGGAGGGGGAUAACUACUGGAAACGGUAGCUAAUACCGCAUACCAUCAGAUGUGCCCAGAUGGGAUUAGCUAGUAGGUGGGGUAACGGCUCACCUAGGCGACGAUCCCUAGCUGGUCUGAGAGGAUGACCAGCCAAACGGGAACGGAGGCACGGGCCAGACGCCUACGGGAGGCAGCAGGGGGGAAUAUUGGACAAUGGGCGCCAGCCUGGUGCAGCCAAGCCGGGGGUGUGAAGAAGGCCUUCGGGGUGGAAAGCACUUUCAGCGGGGAGGCGUUACCCGCAGAAGAAGCACCGGCUAACUCCGUGCCAGCAGCCGCGGUAAUUC